AAUGAUUAGAGGUUCGGGGGUUGAAAUGACCUUCACCUAUUCUCAAACUUUAAAUCGGUAAGAUGGGCCCGUUACUUCAGUGAACAGGCUCUUGAAUGCAGCGCUCUUAGUGGGCCAUUUUUGGUAAGCAGAACUGGCAACGAGGGGUCAACCUAAGGAGAGGUUGAGGCGACAAAUUGACUGCUCAUAGAUGGAAAGGUGUUGGUUCAUUUAGACAGUAGGACGGUGGCCAUGGAAGUCGGAAUCCGCUAAGGAGUGUGUAACAACUCACCUGCCGAAUGAACUAGCCCGGAAAAUGGAUGGCGCUGAAGCGAGCGACUUAUACUCAACCACUAAGGCAAGUGCGAAGCCUUAGUGAGUAGGAGGGCGUGGAGGUUGUGGCGCAUCUUGCGGCGUGAGCCGGAGUGAAACAGCCUCUAGUGCAGAUCUUGGUGGUAGUAGCAAAUAUUCAAAUGCGAACUUUGAAGGCCGAAGUGGGGAAAGGUUCCAUGUGAACAGCAAUUGGACAUGGGUGAGUCGAUCCUAAGACAUAGGUUAGUACCGUUCGGAAGUGGGUGGUUCUCGGAUCGCCCCGCCUAUCGAAAGGGAAUCGGGUUAAUAUUCCCGAACCAGGACGUGGAUACCGAGUGGUGACACAAGCGAAAUCCAGGACAGCGGUGUGUGC
rnacentral:rRNA from 1 species